CAAUAGCGUAUAUUUAAGUUGUUGCAGUUAAAAGCUCGUAGUUGGAUUUCGGAUGUGAACGACCGGUCCGCCGUUGCGGUGUGCACUGGACGUUCGUAUCUUGUUGUCGGGGACGCGCUCCUGGCCUUAACUGGUCGGGACGCGGAGUCGGCGCUGUUACUUUGAAAAAUUAGAGUGUUCAAAGCAGGCAACCGCUCUGAAUACAUUAGCAUGGAAUAACGCUAUAGGACUCUGGUCCUAUUGUGUUGGUCUUCGGGACCGGAGUAAUGAUUAAGAGGGACAGUUGGGGCAGUUCGUAUUUCAUUGUCAGAGGUGAAAUUCUUGGAUUUCUGAAAUGAACGAACUACUGCGAAGCAAUUUACCAAUGGAUGUUUCUAUUAAUCAAGAACGAAAGUUAGGGGAUCGAAGACGAUCAGAUACC
rnacentral:rRNA from 1 species